CAAUAGCGUAUAUUAAAGUUGUUGCAGUUAAAAAGCUCGUAGUUGGAUUUCUGGUAGGAGCGACCGUGCCGAACUUGAUUGUUCGAGUAUUGUGUUGUCUUCAGCCAUCCUCGUGGAGAACUUUUCUAACAUUAACUUGUUGGGAUUGGGACCCGCGUCAUUUACUGUGAAAAAAUUAGAGUGUUCAAAGCAGGCUUAUGCCGUUGAAUAUAUUAGCAUGGAAUAAUGAGAUAGGACUUUUUUGCUAUUUUGUUGGUUUGCGCAAAGAGGUAAUGAUUAAUAGGGACAGUUGGGGGUAUUCGUAUUCCAUUGUCAGAGGUGAAAUUCUUGGAUUUUUGGAAGACGAACUACUGCGAAAGCAUUUACCAAGGAUGUUUUCAUUAA
rnacentral:rRNA from 1 species